UACGAAGGGGGCUAGCGUUGUUCGGAUUUACUGGGCGUAAAGCGCACGUAGGCGGAUCGUUAAGUCGGGGGUGAAAUCCUGGAGCUCAACCCCGGAACUGCCCUUGAGACUGCAUCGCUUGAAUCCAGGAGAGGUGAGUGGAAUUCCGAGUGUAGAGGUGAAAUUCGUAGAUAUUCGGAAGAACACCAGUGGCGAAGGCGGCUCACUGGACUGGUAUUGACGCUGAGGUGCGAAAGCGUGGGGAGCAAACAGG
rnacentral:rRNA from 1 species